ensembl:rRNA 5S_rRNA 5S ribosomal RNA
CCCCUAUGGCAUACCACCCUGCAUCCCACUGCUGGCUUGCCUCUGAAACUAAGCAGGGUUGGUCCUGGUCAGUCCCAGGAUGGGAGAUCAGAUGCUGCUGGAAGUGGGCCAGAGGGCC